AAUACUGAAUACUGAAUAGAUA
rnacentral:siRNA from 1 species